rnacentral:rRNA from 1 species
AACAAACGCUGGCGGCGUGCCUAAUACAUGCAAGUCGAACGGGGAAAGCUUUCGGGUGAGUACUAGUGGCGCACGGGUGAGUAACGCGUGGAUAAUCUGCCUUAGAGUGGGGGAUAACUAGUCGAAAGAUUAGCUAAUACCGCAUAAGACCACAAGAACUGCGGUUCAAGGGGUCAAAGGAUUUUCGUUCUAAGAUGAGUCCGCGUAAGAUUAGCUAGUUGGUAGGGUAACGGCCUACCAAGGCGACGAUCUUUAACUGGUCUGAGAGGAUGAUCAGUCACACUGGAACUGAGACACGGUCCAGACUCCUACGGGAGGCAGCAGUAGGGAAUAUUGCACAAUGGAGGAAACUCUGAUGCAGCGACGCCGCGUGAGUGAUGAAGGCCUUCGGGUCGUAAAGCUCUGUCGCAGGGGAAUAACACAAUGAAGGUACCCUGUAAGAAAGGAUCGGCUAACUUCGUGCCAGCAGCCGCAGUAAUAC